rnacentral:rRNA from 1 species
UACGUAGGGUGCUAGCGUUGUUCGGAAUCAUUGGGCGUAAAGCGUGCGCAGGCGGUUUUGUAAGCCAGAUGUGAAAUCCCCGGGCUUAACCUGGGAAUGGCAUUUGGGACUGCAAGGCUGGAGUUUGGCAGAGGAGACUGGAAUUCCUGGUGUAGCAGUGAAAUGCGCAGAUAUCAGGAGGAACACCAAUGGCGAAGGCAGCUCGCUGGGACGGUACUGACGCUGAGACGCGAAAGCGUGGGGAGCAAACAGG